AAAACCUCCCAAGGAAAAAAACCCAGGACCAAAUGGCAAAAAGAAAAAAAAAAGAAAAAAGGAAGAAAAAGCAUGCGCAGUAUGACAGAGGCUUUCACUGCUUCAUUAAAAAAGCUGUUUCACUUCCAUUGCCCACUUCUGGAGACUCACAGGAAGAAUCAGUAGAGAAUAAAAUAACUUUAAUUCCAUGAAAAGAUUUCAAGAUGGGUCAAAUUUGGCUUUUUUUUUACAGUCUUUCUCUUUAAUGUCCAAUCUUCUACUUGGAGGGCAGGGGUGAUAAUUAACUGAUAUUUUGAUGAUACUAUCAAAAAUUGAUAUUCAAAGACAUCAAGAUGAUGCUUCUAUUUAUUGGGGAAAAAUAGGAAAGAUGCAGUCACUGACUCUAAGAGGAAAUGCUCUGUUGGUGUUGGAUGACUCACCUCUUCAGGUAUGUUAUAAGUUUUAUUAUUAUUCAGCAUUUUUGCUAAAUUAAGAAUGAGAGUGAAUCACCCAAGAAAGAAAAAAGAUUUUAAGAGAUGCACCUAUAUUUAUUUUCGCAUAACUGAGAAUCAUUUGAGUUUACAUAAGACGUUAUUUCAGAGUUAGCACAUCACCUCUAAAGCUGCUGCGUUUAAAGCAGGGCUGAUUGUAGAAAGCACUAUUUAAAUGUUUUUAUGGAGGGAUUAGGGGCAGAAUAUGUGCACACUGGUCACCCAGGGAGAGGUUGAAAUAGUCGUUUACCUCUUUAAUGGAAGCAGGGAAUGUAAUUAACAACCAUUUGCAUGUAACAGUUGAAUAUUUCAUGGUGGGUGACAGUGAUUCAUCCCUGCUUCCUACGGCAACGAGAGGAAAAUUAAACCCAGGUCUUAUGACUUUCAGGUGACUAUAGAAUGUAAAAUUCAAAAUUCAUCCCCUCUCCUGUCCUACUAGCUCACCUUCCUUGGAUUCCUCUAAUACUCAUUCUCCUGUUGUAAGCAGCAGUUUCACUCUAUUGCCUUUCACCAGAGGCUUCCUAAUUUACAGAGGGAACUUGGUUAGUGCAGUGAAGGCAAAUAGGUUUCAACCUGACAUUGAUUGGUGGUGGCUUCUAAGUAAAGUUGCUCUAGGCACAGUGGGAAGGAGGACAGUGGUUGAUUAGUAAUGCCUGCCGUGGGUUAGAGAGGGAGGAGAGCCAUCUUCGACCAGUGCAGAGAUCACAAGAUCAGCAAUUGGGUCUGGCCUUGGCUUAACCGUAUGUUCUAUGAGAUUUUGGACAAACCUCAGCAUUAUAGUUUUCUCAAAUGCCAAUUUGGGGGAAGGGAGAUAAAUAGUCUAUCAUAUAUAAUUCACUAGUCUGUCACAAAGACCAAAGAAGAUUUGAAAGUAUAGAAAUCUGUAUAAUUUACUGUUACAUUCCCAUUUGAAGGAUAUACCGAUCUAUGUAAAUGAGACUCAGAGCUCUACUGUAAAUGUAUUUAUCUAUUUAUUUUACA
rnacentral:lncRNA from 1 species